AGGGUUUGAUUCUGGCUCAGAAUGAACGCUGGCGGCAUGCCUAACACGUGCAAGUCGAACGAGAUCUUCGGAUCUAGUGGCGCACGGGUGAGUAACGCGUGGGAACCUACCUUUUAGUACGGGACAACGUUUGGAAACGGACGCUAAUACCGUAUACGCCCUCCGGGGGAAAGGUCAGCCGCUAAAAGAGGGGCCCGCGUCUGAUUAGCUUGUUGGUAAGGUAAUGGCUUACCAAGGCUACGAUCAGUAGCUGGUCUGGGAGGAUGAUCAGCCACACUGGGACUGAGACACGGCCCAGACUCCUACGGGAGGCAGCAGUGGGGAAUAUUGGACAAUGGAGGCAACUCUGAUCCAGCAAUGCCGCGUGUGUGAUGAAGGCCCUAGGGUUGUAAAGCACUUUCAACGGUGAAGAUGAUGACGGUAGCCGUAGAAGAAGCCCCGGCUAACUUCGUGCCAGCAGCCGCGGUAAUAC
rnacentral:rRNA from 1 species